AAAAUGAAUUCCCAAGUUUAUCAAGACAUUUUGCAGGAGAACUUAAGGCCAUCUGUCUACCAACUGAAGCUCAACAGAAGAUGGGUGUCGCAACAGGACAAUGACCCAAAGCAUAGAAGUAAAUCAACAACAGAAUGGCUUAAACAGAAGAAAAUACGCCUUCUGAAGUGGCCCAGUCAGAGUCCUGACUUCAACCCAAUUGAGAUGCUGCGGCAUGACCUCAAGAAAGCGAUUCACACCAGACAUCCCAAGAAUAUUGCUGAACUGAAACAGUUCUGUAAAGAGGAAUGGUCAAGAAUUACUCCUGACCGUUGUUCACGUCUGAUCUGCUACUACAGGAAACGUUUGGUUGAAGUUAUUGCUGCCAAAGGAGGUUCAAC